UACGUAGGGGGCUAGCGUUGUCCGGAAUCAUUGGGCGUAAAGAGCGUGUAGGCGGCCCGGUAAGUCCGCUGUGAAAGUCGGAGGCUCAACCCUCGAAUGCCGGUGGAUACUGUCGGGCUAGAGUGCGGAAGAGGCGAGUGGAAUUCUUGGUGUAGCGGUGAAAUGCGUAGAUAUCAAGAGGAACACCUGCGGCGAAGGCGGGUUGCUGGGCCGACACUGACGCUGAGGCGCGAAAGCUAGGGGAGCGAACGGG
rnacentral:rRNA from 1 species